UCUGUGUGCAUGACCAUGGUCCUUCAAGUCCUAAACGAAUGAUUUGCAGAAUUUUUUGAAUUAGUUCAUGUUUAUCUCCUCAGAAAAGGGGGAUCCCUGAAGCACUUGGGAAGGAUGCCCCACCCAGGCACCAUUAGACCUCGAGCCUUCCCCCACCAAGAAAGGCUGUUCCAUGGUCUCUAGGUGAGUUCCCUCUCUUCAACCUCCCCAUACAUGUUUGCCUCCCCAAACCCUGCUCCAUGCCUAGGAACCCAGGGCUCCAGCACCUGAAUCUGCUCGAAGGGGAUCUCAAAGCUGAAGGACUCGUUGAAGUAUGGGUUCAGGGUCUUCUUCUUCACGGUUGUCUUCUUCUUCUUGAGCCGCUUGCCAUUCUGCAUCAGGUGGAUCUUCACGUACGGGUCUGCGGAGGGAGAAUCCCAACCCCAGAGAGGUUCCCCUUAGCCCCCAGCCUUCCUGCCGAAUGUACCAAGGCCUGCCCAGAGCAUCAGUCAAGAUGGGGUCUUCACUCCGCUGAGACCAGGCCCUCAGAAAGCCCCAAGUCAUGCCAUCCAGUUCAAAGGUGGCAAAAGGCUUCACCUCCAGGACCAACUGUGACCAGUGGGUUGUGGCUUCCUGAAGCAUUGGGUGGAGGGCAUUUCUGAGUCUAAGUAAGGCCUUGUGAGAAAGAGUCUGGGGAUUCAUCUGUGAUCCUGUACUGGGGAGUGGGUGGGGAGUGCUGAAGUCAGGACACACAUCUUCUGGGUCAUAAUCCCAAUCCGAUCCUCCUAAUCUUGCAGACAAGAAACUGAGGCCAAAGAACGGAAAUGACCUGCCCGAGGUCACACAGCGGGUCAGUGACAGAGCCAGGCUGGCACUGAAACGCGCUGGUUGGAGCCCAUGCCCAGGGCUGAUUCUCUGGGAAGGCAGCUGAGGCAGCAGGCUUCAUCCACUAGAGCCCUGUGCCAUGGGCCAGCCCCAUUCACUGCCAGGUCUCUCCACUCCUCAAUGGGCUGGCCGAGGUCCACUGUGUUCAUAGGCACCUUUACCUCUCCAAUGAUGUCAUGUUUGGAGAAGCGGUCAAAGUCAUAGAUGGCCAUCACCAGAGUUUUGCCCCCAAGCUCCUGGUAUGGCACCUGCAGGGCACAAGCAGAAUCAGAGGGGGCCAGAGCGACUCACGCACCUCCAGGGGUGCUAUGUGCAGGGGCCUGCAUUCCAGCCCACAGGGUCCAGCAGCAUUUCUUGCAGAUGCAGAAGCAGCAGGUGAGAAGCAGGAGCCCAGCAACCACAGCAAUGGCGAUCAGUGCCCAGGGUGGUACUGCCCACACAAAGAAGAUCCCAGGGUCAGCAGUGCCAUGCCUUGCAGCCCCUGACCCCGUAGCAUUGGGAAAAAUGGGUGAGGAAUAUGACUGCCAUCCCACAAUGCCCACACCCCACAUUUUAAAAGCCACACACCCAUGAGUGAUUUGUAUGUAAGGUGCAUAUACUUUGCAUGCCUU
rnacentral:lncRNA from 1 species